rnacentral:lncRNA from 1 species
AUGAGAGUUCACAAUUGCAUCAUCAGUCAAAUAGGUGGCAAAGACCGAGCUGCAGAGAGCGGGCAUGCAGGCGUGCGCAAACUCGCUCGGAAGCCCGGCCGCGCGGGUGUAGAGAAAGCGCGGGGUUCUCAGAGGCCGCAGCCUGGCCCCGGGGCAACGUCCAGCAGCUGGGACUCUCGGGCAUUGUCCGACAGCCAGCGGGCGCUGCUCCUAAGACUCUGGCCCGCCCGCGGGCAGGGAGGGGCGGUCUUUUCAGUCUGGGCCCUCGCUGCAGCGCCGGCUCAGGGACCGGACGCUGAAGUUUCGCACUCCGGACCGGAGUGCGUCCGAGCCUGCCCAUGGUCGCCAGACUUUCCCCUUGCCGCCAGUCGAGCUCCGCACUUGUCCUCUCGGAAUCAUCCCUCCCCAUUUCGACAUCUCCCUUCCCGCCCCAGCCCUCAGCCUGGCCCAGGGCCCGGCCACAGCCCGGGCCGCGGAGCACUCAUCCAUUCAAUCAGCGCGCGGUUUACUCAGCGACAACGGCUGCGGGGCCCGGCGCCGGGUCCUGCCCGAGGGAGCUGCGGGUCCUCCGGAAUCCUUCCGCGGACCCGGCCCUCCAGACCCGACCGGCGUCUAACGGGCUGCCGCGGUCCAGCCCGGCGGCCGGUCGGGCCCGGCCUGCGUGUCGCAAUAGUUCCCCACACAGACACGCAGGUUGUGCCAGGGGAUGCCCGGGCCGGCCGGCUCCGCCUCCCGCGCGCCACAAGAUCCCGCGGGAAGACAGCCCGGGGACUUGGGGCGCGCGCCGGAGCGCGGCUAGUAACGGCAUCCAUCAGCGGUUUGACCUUGGAGACUCUGGCGCCACACCGUCCCCAGUGCGAUAGAGCCGCCAGGUCCCCUAGCGCCCCUAGCUUCACAGGCGCCAGCCUGGGGCUCCCAGUCGGCCACCUUAGGGUCCCGGGGCGCUCGGGUCUCUUUCUGCAGCCAAUCGGAGACAGACGUGGUGAGGGCCAAUGGCCGCGGCCAAAGUAUCAAGAGUGGUUGAGCCUAUCAAAGUUCAGUCUUAAGUUUUUCCCGCCCUCCUGA